UUGAACGCUGGCGGCAGGCCUAACCCCUGCAAGUCGCGCGGAUGAAGGGAGCUUGCUCCUGGAUUCAGCGGCGGACGGGUGAGUAAUGCCUAGGAAUCUGCCUGGUAGUGGGGGAUAACGUCCGGAAACGGGCGCUAAUACCGCAUACGUCCUGAGGGAGAAAGUGGGGGAUCUUCGGACCUCACGCUAUCAGAUGAGCCUAGGUCGGAUUAGCUAGUUGGUGGGGUAAAGGCCUACCAAGGCGACGAUCCGUAACUGGUCUGAGAGGAUGAUCAGUCACACUGGAACCGAGACACGGUCCAGACUCCUACGGGAGGCAGCAGUGGGGAAUAUUGGACAAUGGGCGAAAGCCUGAUCCAGCCAUGCCGCGUGUGUGAAGAAGGUCUUCGGAUUGUAAAGCACUUUAAGUUGGGAGGAAGGGCAGUAAGUUAAUACCUUGCUGUUUUGACGUUACCAACAGAAUAAGCACCGGCUAACUUCGUG
rnacentral:rRNA from 1 species